GACGAACGCUGGCGGCGUGCCUAAUACAUGCAAGUCGAACGCACUCUCGUUUAGAUUGCCGGAGUUUGCUCCUGAUUGAUAAACAUUUGAGUGAGUGGCGGACGGGUGAGUAACACGUGGGUAACCUGCCCUAAAGUGGGGGAUAACAUUUGGAAACAGAUGCUAAUACCGCAUAAAACCUAACACCGCAUGGUGUAGGGUUGAAAGAUGGUUUCGGCUAUCACUUUAGGAUGGACCCGCGGUGCAUUAGUUAGUUGGUGAGGUAAAGGCUCACCAAGACCGUGAUGCAUAGCCGACCUGAGAGGGUAAUCGGCCACACUGGGACUGAGACACGGCCCAGACUCCUACGGGAGGCAGCAGUAGGGAAUCUUCCACAAUGGACGAAAGUCUGAUGGAGCAACGCCGCGUGAGUGAAGAAGGUUUUCGGAUCGUAAAACUCUGUUGUUGGAGAAGAAUGUAUCUGAUAGUAACUGAUCAGGUAGUGACGGUAUCCAACCAGAAAGCCACGGCUAACUACGUG
rnacentral:rRNA from 1 species